GAUGAACGCUGGCGGCGUGCUUAACACAUGCAAGUCGAACGAUGAAGCCAGCUUGCUGGUGGAUUAGUGGCGAACGGGUGAGUAACACGUGAGUAACCUGCCCUUAACUCUGGGAUAAGCCUGGGAAACUGGGUCUAAUACCGGAUAUGACUUCCCAUCGCAUGGUGGGGGGUGGAAAGCUUUUGUGGUUUUGGAUGGACUCGCGGCCUAUCAGCUUGUUGGUGAGGUAAUGGCUCACCAAGGCGACGACGGGUAGCCGGCCUGGGAGGGUGAACGGCCACACUGGGACUGAGACACGGCCCAGACUCCUACGGGAGGCAGCAGUGGGGAAUAUUGCACAAUGGGCGGAAGCCUGAUGCAGCGACGCCGCGUGAGGGAUGACGGCCUUCGGGUUGUAAACCUCUUUCAGUAGGGAAGAAGCGUAAGUGACGGUACCUGCAGAAGAAGCGCCGGCUAACUACGUGCCAGCAGCCGCCGUAACAC
rnacentral:rRNA from 1 species